rnacentral:rRNA from 1 species
CAGCAGCCGCGGUAAUACGGAGGGAGCUAGCGUUGUUCGGAAUUACUGGGCGUAAAGCGCACGUAGGCGGUUAUUCAAGUCAGAGGUGAAAGCCCGGGGCUCAACCCCGGAACUGCCUUUGAAACUAGAUGACUGGAAUCUUGGAGAGGUCAGUGGAAUUCCGAGUGUAGAGGUGAAAUUCGUAGAUAUUCGGAAGAACACCAGUGGCGAAGGCGGCUUACUGGCUCGAAACUGACGCUGGGGCGCGAAAGCGUGGGGAGCAAACAGGAUUAGAUACCCGAGUAGUCCCUGUCUCUUAUAA